UACGGUGAAUACGUUCCCGGACCUCGUACACACCGCCCGUCAAGACCAUGGAAGCCGGGUGUACCUAAAGCCGGUAACCGUCAAGGAGCCGCCUAGGGUAAAACUGGUGACUGGGGCUAAGUCGUAAACAAGGUACC
rnacentral:rRNA from 1 species